rnacentral:piRNA from 1 species
UUCUGACCUCUGACCUCCUCAAGCAUCCAC